rnacentral:rRNA from 1 species
UACGUAGGUGGCAAGCGUUGUCCGGAAUUAUUGGGCGUAAAGGGCGCGUAGGCGGUCCUUUAAGUCAGAUGUGAAAUCCCGAGGCUCAACUUCGGGCGUGCAUUUGAAACUGGAGGACUAGAGUGCAGGAGAGGUAAGUGGAAUUCCUAGUGUAGCGGUGAAAUGCGUAGAUAUUAGGAGGAACACCAGUGGCGAAGGCGACUUACUGGACUGUAACUGACGCUGAGGCGCGAAAGCGUGGGGAGCAAACAGG